rnacentral:rRNA from 1 species
GAUGAACGCUAGCGGCUAGGCCUAAUACAUGCAAGUCGAGGGGCAGCAUAGUAGCAAUACUGAUGGCGACCGGCGCACGGGUGCGUAACGCGUAUGCAACCUACCUUUUACNGGGGGAUAGCCCGGAGAAAUUCGGAUUAACACCGCAUAACAUAUUGAAUUGGCAUCAAUUUAAUAUUAAAUAUUUAUAGGUAAGAGAUGGGCAUGCGUCCAAUUAGCUAGNGGUGAGGUAAUGGCUCACCAAGGCUAUGAUUGGUAGGGGUUC